rnacentral:tRNA from 1 species
AAUAACUCCACCAUCGGCACCCAAAGCGGAAAUUNUUUUUAAAYUAUUCC